CAGGUGAAAUGAAUAUCACUGAUGAGCUCGUUACAGUCACCUGUCGGUGGGUGGGGUAUAUUAGGAAGCAAGCGUCGAAGGAAGGACAGAUGGUGAAGUAGCGACAGGCUCAUGGCGAUGAGGUCAUCUUCAAAAUAUCAGUAGGUUUUAUUGACGGUGGAAGCAAAGCCAGGGUUUGACAUCAAAAACUAUCAGUAAGUAGCUUCACGCUAAAGAAUGGUAUCCUGUUAAUGAUGGAAGGAAUUUCAUGUCGAAAUCUAGAUUACUAAAGGUCUUUUGAGUAUCCAGAAAUGAAGACUAACUGGAGGAUGACUUGUAUAAAGCUAGUGGCAGUGGCCAGAGGAUCCUCUGUUGGCUACACAAACAGAUGCUCCAGAUGACAACAAUGGGGAACGCAUGCUUUACAUUUUCCCUCCAACAAAUUGACACUACACCCUUUAUUAAGCUGUGGAUGGUGCACCUGAAGACCUGCUGAGUAAAUCAACUCCAGAACUUGGAGGUACACAACCCAAAGCUUUGUGGGCUCACUACAAAUCUGCAAACAAUUCAGAUGGCUUGAUGGCGAGAAACCCAGCAGAUGGAUGUAUCAGCAGUCUGGCCUUUUCUUGGGCGUUGCCACCAGUAAUUCAGCGGCCGCUAUUUUACAUGCGGUGAGAUGACAUCUUUUAUUUCAAGUACCCCCUGAUUUUGUCUGAUUUGGAACUUUGCAGUGCCUGUUCUGCAUAUCCAUGAAAGGAUGUUCAUUGCCCUUAACUGGAUGUCAUUCCAUUACCAGACAAUCAUAGAGACAGGCAAGUUUGUUUAUAAAUGGACCCUUUAUUAUUGAAAUGAAAGCUCUACAAACUUUUUUUGCAGCUGCUCCAUCCCAGCUAGGUCAGCUGCUGAAGUUUUGGGUAAGAUGGGGAAAUCUGUACUGGAGGGGUUGCACCUCACAUUUUCUCCAGUUAUGUAACUACAAGAGAACUCUUCACAACUGUGGCCUGGACACAUGCAGUUUAACAGCAUGAGGAAAAUGUGAGGCACUCUACUUUGACCUCACCAGUAGGGAUUUCCCCUCUUGUGCCAAAACUUCAGUAGCAUGUAACAAUGGAGGGUACUCCACAUGGU